GCUUACGGCCACACCGCCUGGUUAAAGCCCGAUCUCGUUUGAUCUCGGAAGCUAAGAUAGGUUGUGCCUGUUUAGUACUUGGAUGGGAGACCGCCUGGGAAUACCAGGUGCUGUAAAGC
rnacentral:rRNA from 1 species